rnacentral:pre_miRNA from 1 species
UACUAGACCAGGCUUUUGUGGAUUAUGAUGUGACUUUGGGCCAGUUUGAAAGUAUUGUGGGGAAUGUGACCGCAUGUAACAGUCUGAGUUUUAGUGAUGAAGACCUCCCAGCGGAGGGGAAGAAGCACAAUCAGGCGUUACUCAUCUCUGUACUUUGCAGAACAGACUCCUUAUCCAAUGUUCUGAUAGACACCGGCUCUGCUCUUAAUGUAA